UUUCAAGCCCUUCCAGUCCCGAUACCAGUGUAGUUCUUUCAAAAUGUACAGAAAUGAUCAUUUAAAUUUGUGUGGAAGGGAGGGACACCCAAGGUUGCUCAUAAAGUGCUCAUGGCCCCCAGACCGCCCAAGGAAUAUGUACAAUAGUCCAGUCACAAAACUAGUUGGGGAGGUAUGAGAUUCCCUGCCUAAAAAGUAUAUCAUGACAACAUUCCCUCCGCCGCGAGUCAAGCUACCACCUGUCCCAGCCCCUGCCUCUCGGCGCCCCCUUGAUGCUCUUGACUGAGUGUCCUGGGGGUCCAAAGCGUUUACUUGGAAAUAAUUAGAGUGUCCAAAGCAGGCCGGUCGCCUGAAUACUUCAGCUAGGAAUAAUGGAAUAGGACUCCGGUACUAUUUUGUUGGUUUUCGGAACUGGGGCCAUGAUUAAGAGGGGGAGGCCGGGGGCAUUCGUAUUGUACCGCUAGAGGUGAAAUUCUUGGACUGGCACAAGGCUAACCAAAGCAAAAGCAUUUGCCAAGAAUAUUUUCAUUAAUCAAGAAUGAAAGUCAGAGGUGUGAAGAUGAUCAGAUACCAUUGUAGUUCGAGCAUAAACAAUGGCGACUAGCGAUCCAGCGCCAUUAUUCCCAUGACCUGCCGAGCAGCUUCCGGGAAACCAGAGUCUUUGGGUUCCGGGGGGGGGGUAUUGUUGCAAAGCUGAAACUCAAAAGGAAUUGACGGAAGGCACCACCAGGAGUGGAGCCUGCGGCUUAAUUUGACUCAACACAGGAAACCUCACCCGGCCCAGACAUGGAAAGGAUUGACAGAUUGAUCGUUCUGUGGGUGGUGGUGCAUGGCCGUUCUUAGUUGGUGGAGCGAUUUGUCUGGUUAAUUCCGAUAACGAACGAGACUCCUCCAUGCUAACUAGUUACGCGACCCUCAUCGGUCGGCGUUCAACUUCUUAGAGGGACAAGUGGCGUCAGGUCAACAGGUCUGUGAUGCCUUAGAUGUCCGGGGCUGCACGCACGCUACACUGAACGGAUCAGCGUGCGUCUACCCUUCGCCGACAAGUGCGGGUAACCCGCUGAACCCUGUUCGUGAUAGGGAUUGCAAUUAUUUCCCAUGAACGAAGAAUUCCCAGUAAGUGCAGGUCAUAAGCUCGCGUUGAAGUCCCUGCCCUUUGUAUACUCCGCCCGUCGCUACUACCAAUUGGAUGGUUUAGUGAGGUCUUCGGAUCGGCCUGCCGGGGUCAGCAACGGCCCUGUCGGAGCACCAAUAAGACGAUCAAACUUUACUAUCUAGAGGAAGUAAAAGUCGUAACUUUGAAAAAGUUUGAAAAAAGUUUGAAA
rnacentral:rRNA from 1 species